CGCACGGUCGGGCCUCAUCAUCACCUGUGCCUGCUGGUCCUGUUCUGUCCCUGCCAGAGGUCCGUGUGCCUACUGAUUCUGAUCCGUUCCUGCCAGAGGCCCGUGUGCCUGCUGGUUCUGUCCUGUUCCUGCCAGAGGCCCGUGUGCCUGCUGGUUCUGAUCCGUUCCUGCCAGAGGCCCGUGUGCCUACUGGUUCUGAUCCGUUCCUACCAGAGGCCCGUGUGCCUGCUGGUUCUGUCCUGUUCCUGCCAGAGGCCCGUGUGCCUGCUGGUUCUGUCCUGUUCCUGCCAGAGGCCCGUGCGCCUACUGGUUCUGAUCUGUUCCUGCCAGAGUCCUGUGCGCCUACUGGUUCUGCCCUGUGUUAUCCAGAGGCCCACGUGCCUGCUGAUUCAGCCCUGCGUGUGCCAGGAGCCCCUGCGCCCACUUGUUUUUGGAAUGUUUUUGCUGGGGGGCCUGAGGAGCCCGUCCAGCCUCCUGCCUCGUCUGCUGGGGGGCCCGAGGAGCCCAUCCAGCCAUCAGCUGCAUCAGCGACGCCUGCAGCAGCAGCUGUUUUACCCAUGCCUGCAGCAGCAGCAGCUUCAACAUUAUCGCCUGCGGCAGCAGCAGCUUCAACAUCCUCAUUAUCGCCUGCAGCAGCAGCAGCCUCUGCUUCCCCCGCCGUCGCCUGGCCCGGCCUCCGCUGCAGCCUCGUCUGGUUCAGCCUCCUCAUCAGCUUCAGGGUCGCCUGCAGCAGCCUCAUCAUCAGCGUCGCCUGCAGCAGCAGCCUCAUCGUCCUCACCAGCUGCAGCCUCCGUGUCUUUAUCCUCGCCAGCUGCAGCCUCCGUGUCUUCAUCCUCGCCAGCUGCAGCCUCCGUGUCUUCAUCCUCGCCAGCUGCAGCUUCCGUGUCUUCGCCUUCAUCCUCGCCUGGUCCAGGUCCCGCUUCAGCUUCACCUGGUCCAGCCUCAUCAUCGGCUUCAGCGUUGCCUGCAGUGACCUCCUCUUCAGCGUCAUCAGCUUUGUUUGACCCAGCCUCUGCAUCAGCUUUGUCUUCGCCUGGUCCAGCUUCAGCUUCGCCUGGUCCGCCCUCCGCUUCAGCUUCGGCCUCGCCUGGCGCCCCAGCUCUGGCUUCAUCCUCGCCGGGUCCAGCUUUGGCUUCAUCCUCGCCGGGUCCAGCCUCCGUGCCUGCAUCCUCGUCUGGUCCAGCCUCCGUUCCUGCAUCCUCGUCUGGCCCAGCCUCUGUGCCUGCAUCCCCGUCUGGUCUAGCAUCCUCGUCUGCAGAAGCAGCUUCGGCCUUGCCCGGUCUGGCCUCUGCCUCGGCUCCAGCUUCGCCGAAUCCGGCUUCAGCAUCAGCUUCAGCCUCAGGUGCAGCUUCAGCCUCAUUCUCCUCCUCAUCCUCACCUGGUAUUGCGGCUGGCAUGCCGCCAUCCGGUCCGCAUUGGGCGCCUCCACAACGCUGGCCAUUUUCUAGGCAGCUGGCUGGUUAUCAUCGCCAGCGAGGACGCCCUCCUGAACAGGACUUCUGUCGCCGCCACUGCCUUCCGCGUGGCCGGCCUCCGGACUUAUGUCGCCGCCACUGCCUUCUUCGACUCCAUCCCCCUGAACUGUUUCAUCCUGGCCUUCAGUGCUAUCGGCCCUCGGGCCGGCCACCUGAACUAUGUUUUG
rnacentral:lncRNA from 1 species